AAGCGAGUUACCUUCUCAGGG
rnacentral:siRNA from 1 species